rnacentral:rRNA from 1 species
CCUACGGGUGGCUGCAGUGAGGAAUAUUGGUCAAUGGGCGCAAGCCUGAACCAGCCAAGUCGCGUGAAGGAAGAAGGCCCUACGGUUUGUAAACUUCUUUUAUAGGGGAAUAAAGGUAUGCACGUGUGCCUUUUUGCAUGUACUUUAUGAAUAAGCAUCGGCUAACUCCGUGCCAGCAGCCGCGGUAAUACGGAGGAUGCGAGCGUUAUCCGGAUUUAUUGGGUUUAAAGGGAGCGUAGGUGGGUUGUUAAGUCAGUUGUGAAAGUUUGGGGCUCAACCGUAAAAUUGCAGUUGAUACUGGGAGGCUUGAGUACAGUUGAGGUAGGCGGAAUGCGUGGUGUAGCGGUGAAAUGCUUAGAUAUCACGAAGAACUCCGAUUGCGAAGGCAGCUUACUAAGCCGUUACUGACAUUGAUGCACGAAAGCGUGGGGAUCAAACAGGAUUAGAUACCCGGGUAGUC